UUUGUAAGCUAAGAUCAUAAGAGAUACUUGGAAUUUAAAUCUGUGUACAUAGCUUCAUGUACUAUCUGGCUAAAAUGCCCAGUGCGAAAAAGAUAAAGCAAAAUCUUGCACAAAAUUUUCAGCUUAAUCACCAAAUGAUUUCUCCAUCUUCCUUGAUCCGUAGCAUGUGUUACUUCCAUGACUUACAAAUUAGUAACUGUCAAUGGCUGGCAGAGCCAGUAUUCCAACCUGAAGGAGGUGGAGCAGGGGAUCCUUGGAAAUUUUAGUGCCUGGAUGGAGCAGGGCAGAGCCCUCUUCGCUCCCUUAAUUGCAAUAUUGAGAUGGCUAUCUAUCAUCAGUUUUAACAGGAUCAUUCUCCAGAUCUUGAAUAUCCUUCUUGCUCUUCACCGAGAUCCACUUCUUGGUAUUAAAAUCAAGUUUGUCCAAGUCAUCCACAACCCCCAUGUAUCCAUAUAGUAGGCGAUCCUCCAACAUGUCUCCCUGUAUUUCUGCUUCAAAACCAUUGCUGCUUUUGUUAGCAUUGGAUGUUUUGCGUUCAAAUUCUUCUCUCCCAUGUUUAUUCUCAGCAAAAUAUUUAUGAAGUCUCUCUGCAUUUCCAAGUCCAGUGAAGGUGCCCAAAAACUUUAUCAACAUAACACUUUGGUCAGCAGGUUUACCUAGGCAUACCUUGAUUUUUCCCCCAACAAAACCUUUACCUCUAAGAAAAGCUUCAACCCCUUCAAUAGGUAUGACCUUCUGUUGUUCUGGAUUCACAUUUGACAUAGAAAUGUUGUGAAUGAUAACAAGUGGAGGCCAUAUCAUCAAAUCCUCCUUCUGAGCCCAAGCUUCUGCCUCAGGCAAGACAUCUGGAACCCAAGUUCUCAUGUCGCAAGGCACAUAAGUGUUCCACCCCAUCAAAAUGCAUAUUGCUUUAUGAAGACCCAGGUGUUGUGCUCUCAAUCCAACCUUGUGAGACAUGAAAGCAUGAGUUACCAAGCGUUGAGUGUCCAUGAAAUC
rnacentral:misc_RNA from 1 species